AGAGUUUGAUUAUGGCUCAGAACGAGCGCUGGCGGCGCGUUUAAGCAUGCAAGUCGAGCGGCAAGGGCCUUCGGGCCCCUAGAGCGGCGGACGGGUGAGUAACACGUGGACAAUCUGCCCCCCGGCCCGGGAUAGCCCAGGGAAACCUGGAUUAAUACCGGAUGAGACGGGACCCGCGAUGGCGGGAUCCGGGAAAGGCGCUGCGGCGCCGCCGGGGGAUGAGUCUGCGUCCCAUUAGCUAGACGGCAGGGUAACGGCCCACCGUGGCGACGAUGGGUAGCCGGCCUGAGAGGGUGGACGGCCACAUUGGAACUGAGACACGGUCCAGACUCCUACGGGAGGCAGCAGCUAAGAAUCUUCCGCAAUGGGCGAAAGCCUGACGGAAGCGACGCCGCGUGAACGAAGAAGGCCGUGAGGUUGUAAAGUUCUUUUCGGGAGGGGGAACAACCGUGGCAGGGAAUGGCCGCGGGAUGACGUGAAUCCCGGAAUAAGCCCCGGCUAACUACGUGCCAGCCGCGGC
rnacentral:rRNA from 1 species